rnacentral:rRNA from 1 species
AACGAACGCUGGCGGCAGGCUUAACACAUGCAAGUCGAACGCCCUAGCAAUAGGGAGUGGCGCACGGGUGAGUAACGCGUGGGAAUGUACCGAGAAGUGGGGAAUAACUUUGGGAAACUAAAGCUAAUACCGCAUACGCCCGAGAGGGGAAAGAUUUAUCGCUUUUCGAUUAGCCCGCGUGAGAUUAGGUAGUUGGUGGGGUAAUGGCCUACCAAGCCUACGAUCUCUAGCUGGUCUGAGAGGAUGAUCAGCCACACUGGAACUGAGACACGGUCCAGACUCCUACGGGAGGCAGCAGUGGGGAAUAUUGGACAAUGGGGGAAACCCUGAUCCAGCCAUGCCGCGUGAAUGAUGAAGGCCUUAGGGUUGUAAAGUUCUUUCGCCGAUGAAGAUAAUGACGGUAGUCGGAGAAGAAGCCCCGGCUAACUUCGUGCCAGCCGCCGCCGUAA